UACGUAGGGGGCAAGCGUUGUCCGGAAUCAUUGGGCGUAAAGAGCGCGUAGGCGGUCCGGUAAGUCCGCUGUGAAAGUCAGGGGCUCAACCCUUGAAUGCCGGUGGAUACUGUCGGGCUAGAGUCCGGAAGAGGCGAGUGGAAUUCCUGGUGUAGCGGUGAAAUGCGCAGAUAUCAGGAAGAACACCCGUGGCUAAGGCGGCUCUCUAGUACGGUACUGACGCUGAGACGCGAAAGCGUGGGGAGCGAACAGG
rnacentral:rRNA from 1 species